GAUGAACGCUAGCGGCAGGCUUAACACAUGCAAGUCGAGGGGUAUUGGUUUUCGGACCAAGAGACCGGCGCACGGGUGCGUAACGCGUAUGCAAUCUACCUUUUGCAGAGGGAUAGCCCAGAGAAAUUUGGAUUAAUACCUCAUAGUAUAGUACUUUGGCAUCAAGGAACUAUUAAAGUCACAACGGCAAAGAAUGAGCAUGCGUCCACUUAGCUAGUUGGUAAGGUAACGGCUUACCAAGGCUACGAUGGGUAGGGGUUCGUGAGAGGGAGGAUCCCCACACUGGUACUGAGACACGGACCAGACUCCUACGGAGGCAGCAGUGAGGAAUAUUGGACGAAUAGGGCGGC
rnacentral:rRNA from 1 species